GAUGAAGAACGCAGCGAAAUGCGAUACGUAAUGUGAAUUGCAGAAUUCAGUGAAUCAUCGAGUCUUUGAACGCACAUUGCGCCCCCUGGUAUUCCGGGGGGCAUGCCUGUCCGAGCGUCAUUGCUGCCCUCAAGCACGGCUUGUGUGUUGGGCCUCCGUCCUCCUCCCGGGGGACGGGCCCGAAAGGCAGCGGCGGCACCGCGUCCGGUCCUCGAGCGUAUGGGGCUUCGUCACCCGCUCUUGUAGGCCCGGCCGGCGCUUGCCGACACAUCAAUCUUUUUUCCAGGUUGACCUCGGAUUAGGUAGGGAUACCCGCUGAACUUAAGCAUAUCAAUAAGCGGAGGA
rnacentral:misc_RNA from 1 species